rnacentral:lncRNA from 1 species
GGUCACAUUAUGAUUUGGAAACAAACAAUACUAAAAUCCCAGUGGCUUAAUACACAACAGUUUAUUUAUUUGUUCUCUCAAGGUCUGCUGAGGGUACAGGCAACUUUCCAGGGCAGCUGUCUUCCAUGUGGGAGCUCAGAACCUCAGGCUAAUUCAAUCAUGUGGCAUGUCCAUAACAAGUUCUUCUGGGAUUGCUGCGGCAGUGAAGAAAAUCUGCACGGUCCUAUAGUGUGUUCUCCAGCUACCCUAACUGUCCAAGCUGAGGUCCAGAAGAUCAAAGAUGAAACAUCAAGCAGAGCCCUUCUUGGGUACCUGAGCUUCAGAUUAUAAGCAAAGUGAAGUGGUUGUUUUAUGUCACUAUGUAGUUUUGGGGGUAGUUUGUCAAUGUAAGAUUCCUGUCACAUAUGCCAUUCAUUUGAUGUCAUACUCUAAAAUAUUGGAGAUAAACAAAUUCAGGGGAACAGAUGAGAUGCCUGAGGGUAAAGUUUAGAGAAUACAAAAGCCAAGUACUGAGGUUUAGAGAUACCAGUAUUAAUGGUCAAGGGUAAAAUAUCCCAGAUGUUGAGAGGGCAACAAAAUGGUCAGAGAAAUCAGAAUUAAACUUGGAGACACAUUGCCACUGAAGGGCAAGAUAUUAAAAGGAAUAGUUAGGAACAAUGUUUAUGCAUCAGAAAGAGCACAGUCCAAUGAAGACAAUUCAUUUUGUUGAAAUUAAAAUUGGUUUUGUAUAGCGAAGUUUUAUUAUAGUAAAUAGUGAAACUAAAUUGAAGCAAGAAUGAAAUUUGAUUUGGGUAUAUGUUUAACAGUAUAAUGGUAUGUUAGACUAGUAACAACUAUAUGUGAGCCCUCUUAAUAACAAAAGAAACAAAAAUCUAAGGUAUAUUUUAUUAAUAGAAAUUUAUUUUAUAAAUGAUAAAAUUUGUAAAUGAAACGAAUUUAUUUAUUAUAAAAUAUAUGUAUAACUUUACAUAUACAUAUAUAUGUUUUAUAUAUAUGUAUAAAUUUAUCUGAUAAAUUUAAAUUUAUAGAACUUAUAAAGAAAACAUACAAGAAGAAUAAGACUAUUUUAAAGAAAAUAAAAAUUUGAAACUUGGACGUAUGGUUCA